rnacentral:lncRNA from 1 species
CUUUUGAACACGUUCCACCAGCUGCACAAUGGUGAAAUGGAUGAGGUGAGAAAGGCCCGGACCACACCGAGAAUCGAAUGCAUGGUAAACAUAGGGCCACGGGGAAGUCUUGACACCGCUCGGCAAGAUCUCUCACCGAUGGAUCCACCCUCUAUGUUUUCUGAUUGGACACAUUUCCUGAGAUGGGAAGGAUCAUGCUAUUGGCUGAGGCUGCAUCAGGGGAGUAAUAUUUACUCUGGAAAAUCUGGGAGAGGGUGUCCCAGUCUGUGAACUACCCAGACCCCCACGUUCACAGAAUACUAGGAUGAGGAGGAUCCCAAGGAACACCUGCAUCAACUCUCAUGUUCUACAAGGGAAGAAGCCAGGUCUCAGGGACAUUAAAUCACUUUCCCAAAUGUACCAAGCUAGUUAGAGUGAAGAAAGAUCCUAUUUAUCCCAGUUCCCAGUGAAAUGCCAUUUCUGCUCCAUACCUUCUCUUCUCCAUGUGUCCUAUGCUCUCGCACUUUUUGUGCUGCUUAGCGUUUUGCCCAGAGGUGUGCCAGAGAUUAUUGCUCAUUCUUUCUCCUUCCACGGUCACAACACCUCCCUGGGCUGGUGUCACCUCUUACUUUGCAAUUCAAAACGUUGAAGAAGGUGCGACCUGUCUAGAUUUUCGUGUAGCCUUCUCUCCUGAUUGCUGUUUCAGAUAACACAUUCAGGGUGUUGGUAAAUAGCUGUGAAUCAGAGCCUCGGGGACAGCCUGGUUUGGUGUGUGGAUAGUCUGGCUAAUGUCAUAGCAGUCCCUGCCUUAAAUAUCAAUGUCCGAGGAAGGUGGGAUGCUGUUUCCAAAAGAUUGAUUUGCACUUCUGCUAAUAUAUGGCUGAGUGUUCUUUAAAAUGGAGUAUUCUGCUUGCCCUCUGCCACCUUCACAACACCCUAAAUCUUUGGAAGAACGUGCUUCUUGUUGGACCUACAAGUGGGGAGCAUCUUGCCUUGUCCGGCCUGUCCCAGUUUCUCGGGAACCCUUGAGGUUUCUGUCCCUGUUCCACAUACUUAGCCCCAUCUCCAGGCUUCCUGUCCAUCAGCCUGAGAGACCAUACUCUAGGAGUCUUAAGUGCUGAGUUCCCUAGUGGGAACUCACUGGACUGCAACGCCCCAAGUCCCUCCUUCUCUCUCUGUGCCUUGGGAUGGGCUUUGUGCCAGCUGUGCCCAUCCUGCUGUUCUGCAGCUUGGUGCCCCUUCCUAACGUGAUGGGCCUCUGCUAAGGUCAUGUUCUUUCACCAACCCAGGGUCCUUCCAGCUCCUCCACCAAAACAGUGCCCUGGUUGUCCUCACUUGUCCCAUCUUCAGCAGGGAGGCACUUGAUUCUGUGGCAUUUGGCACUGCUCACUGGGCUUUCUUUUCUUUUCACUGUAAGACUCAUGCAUUAGAUCUGUCUUGCUAUAGUCCUAACAAUGUCUCUGUGUCCCCACUCCCAUUCAACUCUUGCCAUUCUCCAGCCAUUGCUCUUGAAGAAUGUGGGACUAAUAACCCUGGGUAGGGUCACAAGGCCCUGCAGAGGUGAUGCCAUGAAGUUGCCUACACAGAACUGCCUCCCUGCUAAGAGUUCCAGGAUCAAAUUCUUCUAGGUGCCUGCUUGGGUGGGUCCUCAUCCCCACCCCUGCCCAGGGCACCAUCUGUGGGAGAUUAGGAGGUAAUCACUGUCUACCCCUCAGACACCACGUGCUGCAUGACUGUGUCCUGAGGCAGCCACAUGGCUGCCAGCUCUGAAGGUCCUGAGAUCCCCAUUCUGAGGCCCUUCGCUGACUCACUGCUCUCAUUCUUCUUUCUCUGUCCACUCUCAGGGCAACUACAUCCACACGGUGAAGGCAGGGCCUGUGUAGUGGAUGCCAGGCUGUCUUCACGUACAUUUCUCUUUCUCUUAAGCAUCCUGGACCAUAAAGCCCUAGUGUGCUGCUCCUACCUUGCCAGUAGGACUCCUGUCUCAGCUCCGUCUCCUGAAGACUGACCCUACAGGAGAGAUACAAGCAUCUCCUGUUACCUGUGCCCAGAUGGUCCUUAAAAAAUCAUUUUCCUAUUUGAUAAACAUAAAAAUGUUAUGUCUGACCAGCCAACAGGCUCUAGACCUGAGCCAUCUAGGAAGAUGAGGCCCCACCCCUAACUGGUGCCCUCUUUGCAGAUUCACUGAUGCAGAUUCUUGUCAGCAGAGAUAACUUGUCAAAUUUUACUUUCAUCAAGAGAAAUAUAAUUAGAGUGAUGUACUUUUCAUUUCUAAAUUAUGAAAUUCUAUUAUAAUGUGAAAUAUGUAUUUUCAAAGUAUACAUACAUUUCCUUUUAGAAAUGUUGAUAUACCUCCCUAGGAACUUUCCUUCCUUUUGUUAGAAAAUCAAUGCUGUAAAAUGUUAGGGAACAAAAGAAAGGUAUGGAGGAAGAUCAACCUUGUGGGACCCAGGAAGAAGCAGGGAAGAAGAAUCCCACUAUGAAACUACCUUUCCAGGACAAAUAAUGUUCUCAGAAAUGGGCAUGUACUUUGUCUCCAGGCAGAUAGCCUGCCCAUUACAUUUUUGUUUUGUUUUGUUUUGUUUUGUUUUGUUUGAGACGGAGUCUCACUCUGUCACCUAGGCUGGAGUACAGUGGCACGAUCUCGGCUCACUGCAGCCUCCACCUCCUGGGUUCAAGCGAUUCUCCUGCCUCAGCCUCCUGAGUAGCUGGGACUACAGGUGCCUGCCACCAUGCCCAGCUAAUUGUUGUAUAUAUUUUUUAGUAGAGAUGUGGUUUCACCAUGUUGGCCAGGCUGGUCUCGAACUCUUGACUUCAAGUGAUAUGCCUACCUCGACCUCCCAUUACGUUUUAAAUAGCACAGCUCUCUGCUACGUUGUAUAUUUCCCAAAUAAAAAGUUUUCAGCUCAAUCUCUAGAAAAGCUCUGCUUUAUCAACUUUCUGUUUCUCAUGCCAUGAGUUGACUAUGACUCUCUCACGCACCUGCCAAUCAGUUUUAUCACUUGCCAUUAGGAGGUCCUUGGGAAGCAAUGGGAAAGCUCCCCAGUCCAGAGAAACUAACUUCAGGCAUGUGUCUGAACUCAGAGGCUCCAACCAAGAGCAGGGAAGGGCCUUGUGGGAGGUGAGUGCAUUUUGGAUAUGGGGAGCAAGGCUGGUGGGAUUCUGCUAACGAAACUGAUCACAGGUGACAGGGCUCUCCUUUGAACUUGAUUAUUUUUAAAGUUCACCUCUCCCUGAUCCAUAACGAGGUCUGGUGAGACUUGUCAUAGUCCCAGAAUUAUUUCGAUCAUUCCAGCUCAGCCGAAACAAUGAGAGAACAUCAAUAUGGCAACUCCUCAGAUGUCUGGGAAGAGGGAUCAUCACCCAGGCCUGGGAGCUCUGCGCAGUUUUGUCUGCCUUGGCUCCAAAGUGCUCUUUGCCCUUAACACUGCACCACUGUACAGAUUCACACAGCUGGCACUAGCUCCACAGUGGCUAAGGUUGUGCUGCUUAGGACUGACCUGGAGGAGAGGGGAGAAAAAGAUGGUAUUAGUGGCUCCCUUUCAUGUCAACAGGUUCACUGAAAAAGGAGCAAAGGGCUUAGUCAUGUUUUAAUGCUCUCAAAGCUUACUAUGUAUCCAGGA